UUUUUCCAGUGAGACUAUGCCAUAAAAAAAGAAGAGAGGAACUGGAACUGAUUAAAGGAUAUGCUGGAAACUGAAAAAAGCUCUUUGAAGAGAAGAAGCAGCAGCAGGAUGGAGUUCAGGAGGAGGUGGGGCUUCCCUGUUACCAGGGUUACCAGGGUGCUGUCAGUCCUCAUGCUGGGUGUCUGCAGUGCCAGUGCCAGUGCCAGUGCCAGUGAGUUUGUGAAAGUCCCGAGCUCUGUGAACUGAACUGUGGGUCAGGACUGCAUCCUGAAUGCACCUACGACUACAGAGCUGGAGGAGACUGGGAGAUGGAACCGGACUAUAAGGAGAAUUAACUCUGCCGAGGAAGACUCCACCCUGAAUCGGACCCGGGA